rnacentral:pre_miRNA from 1 species
CAGCUGUGGGACUUUAGGAGGCAAAGCCUAGGGGUGUCUCCACCAUGGCCUGGACCUCUCUCCUCUUCAUCGCCCACCUCAUUUACUGCACAGGU